GGAGUCCUGAAGUGUUCGUGGAUUACCAUAAAGUUUUGAGCCAACAUUUUUACAACGGGAGCCUGCCGGUUUCCAUUUGGCGUGCAAGCCUCCAAUGGAGUGGACGUACAAAGAAUGGAACAGGGCACCCACCUGCCGAGAGCAGGUUCAAAACUAUGGUGUUUAAACGGCACAGUUGGGGCUCCA
rnacentral:other from 1 species